CGCAAGCCUGACGGAGCAAGACCGCGUGGGGGAGGAAUGCCUUAGGGUUGUAAACCCCUUUUAUCUGGGAAGAACAAAAUGACGGUACCAGAUGAAUAAGCCUCGGCUAACUCCGUGCCAGCAGCCGCGGUAAUACGGAGGAGGCAAGCGUUAUCCGGAUUUAUUGGGCGUAAAGCGUUCGCAGGUGGUUCUUCAAGUCUGCUGUUAAAGACAGUGGCUCAACUACUGAAAGGCAGUAGAUACUGAAGGACUAGAGUGCGGUAGGGGCAGAGGGAAUUCCCGGUGUAGCGGUGAAAUGCGUAGAUAUUAGGAAGAACACCAAUGGCGAAAGCACUCUGCUGGGCCACAACUGACACUGAGAGACGACAGCUAGGGGAGCA
rnacentral:rRNA from 1 species